UACGUAGGGGGCAAGCGUUGUCCGGAUUUAUUGGGCGUAAAGAGCGUGUAGGCGGCCAUACAGGUCAGCUGUGAAAACUCGAGGCUCAACCUCGAGACGUCGGUGGAAACCGUUUGGCUAGAGUCCGGAAGAGGAGAGUGGAAUUCCCGGUGUAGCGGUGAAAUGCGCAGAUAUCGGGAAGAACACCCGUGGCGAAGGCGGCUCUCUGGGACGGUACUGACGCUGAGACGCGAAAGCGUGGGGAGCGAACAGG
rnacentral:rRNA from 1 species